GAUGAACGCUGGCGGCGUGCCUAAUACAUGCAAGUCGAGCGAACAGAUGAGGAGCUUGCUCCUCUGACGUUAGCGGCGGACGGGUGAGUAACACGUGGAUAACCUACCUAUAAGACUGGGAUAACUUCGGGAAACCGGAGCUAAUACCGGAUAAUAUAUUGAACCGCAUGGUUCAAUAGUGAAAGACGGUUUUGCUGUCACUUAUAGAUGGAUCCGCGCCGCAUUAGCUAGUUGGUAAGGUAACGGCUUACCAAGGCAACGAUGCGUAGCCGACCUGAGAGGGUGAUCGGCCACACUGGAACGGAGACACGGUCCAGACCCCUACGGGAGGCAGCAGUAGGGAAUCUUCCGCAAUGGGCGAAAGCCUGACGGAGCAACGCCGCGUGAGUGAUGAAGGUCUUCGGAUCGUAAAACUCUGUUAUUAGGGAAGAACAAAUGUGUAAGUAACUAUGCACGUCUUGACGGUACCUAAUCAGAAAGCCACGGCUAACUACGU
rnacentral:rRNA from 1 species